rnacentral:rRNA from 1 species
GAUGAACGCUAGCGGCAGGCUUAAUACAUGCAAGUCGAGGGGCAGCAGGACUGUAGCAAUACAGUUGCUGGCGACCGGCAAACGGGUGCGGAACACGUACGCAACCUACCCAAAACUGGGGGAUAGCCCGGGGAAACCCGGAUUAAUACCUCGUAACCUUUUUAAGUGGCAUCACUUGAUAAGUAUAGCUCCGGCGGUUUUGGAUGGGCGUGCGCCUGAUUAGGUAGUUGGUGCGGGUAACGGCCCACCAAGCCUGCGAUCAGUAACUGGUGUGAGAGCACGACCAGUCACACGGGCACUGAGACACGGGCCCGACUCCUACGGGAGGCAGCAGUAAGGAAUAUUGGUCAAUGGACGUAAGUCUGAACCAGCCAUGCCGCGUGAAGGAUGAAGGUCCUCUGGAUUGUAAACUUCUUUUAUGGGGGACGAAACCCGGAUAUUCUUAUCCGAUUGACGGUACCUCAGGAAUAAGCACCGGCUAACUCCGUG